AAUAGGGGAUGACAUUAGGCAUUUACAGCUACAUCAUUUUCACUGUUUCAACUUGUUGUUUUCCAGUCCUUCUUCCCCUUCUUUUGACACAAACAAGUGAAAUUUUGUAUGGAAAGUAAACUCACGAUUAUCGUAAGUUAAAAUUCUUAUCUUCUUUCUGCUUACUAGCUUGAAUCUCUUAAAAACUACCCUAACCAACCAAAGACCUCAUUACCAAGAGUACAACAAGGAUCUCUUAACUGAAUGAGAAUCUUCAUAUUAGCCUUCUUGUCGUACAAAAUUUUCAUGAAAGACCAUAAAAGGGUUGUGCUAUGGUAACAAAGUAUAGGGAAAUUUAAUUAUCUUUAUACAUAGAGGGUUAACAGAAACCUUUUACUUUCCCCUGCAGGUUAAGAGACAAAGUAAGUCUCGUGGGAGGAAGCCUAGACUAUGGGCGCUAUUAAUGAAUUUGCUUGCUUUUCGUUCAGAGACAUCAAACUUCAUCUUAAUGGAGUAUAAUGUAAUGUUGUAUAUAAUUUAUAAAUUAGAAAAAUGAUUUGAACUUUCCUUCUUUCCCUUUUUCUACUCUUUUAUGAUAGAUUCAACUAUUUGAGAAAAUCAUCAUUUAGCAAUCACACAUUUGGU
rnacentral:lncRNA from 1 species